rnacentral:rRNA from 1 species
AGUGAACGCUGGCGGUAGGCCUAACACAUGCAAGUCGAACGGCAGCACAGUAAGAGCUUGCUCUUACGGGUGGCGAGUGGCGGACUGGUGAGGAAUACAUCGGAAUCUACUUUUUCGUGGGGGAUAACGUAGGGAAACUUACGCUAAUACCGCAUACGACCUACGGGUGAAAGCAGGGGAUCUUCGGACCUUGCGCGAUUGAAUGAGCCGAUGUCGGAUUAGCUAGUUGGCGGGGUAAAGGCCCACCAAGGCGACGAUCCGUAGCUGGUCUGAGAGGAUGAUCAGCCACACUGGAACUGAGACACGGUCCAGACUCCUACGGGAGGCAGCAGUGGGGAAUAUUGGACAAAGGGCGCAAGCCUGAUCCAGCCAUACCGCGUGGGUGAAGAAGGCCUUCGGGUUGUAAAGCCCUUUUGUUGGGAAAGAAAAGCAGCAGGUUAAUACCCCGCUGUUAUGACGGUACCCAAAGAAUAAGCACCGGCUAACUUCGUG